ACCGGCAGCUAAAGUGGUGGCCAUUUUUAUUGGGCCUAAAGCGUUCGUAGCCGGUUUGAUAAGUCUCUGGUGAAAUCCCGCAGCUUAACUGUGGGACUUGCUGGAGAUACUAUUAGACUUGAGGUCGGGAGAGGUUAGGGGUACUACCAGGUGAGGAGUGAAAUCCUAGAAUCCUGGGAGGACCACCUGUGGCGAAGGCGCCUAACUGGAACGAACCUGACGGUGAGUAACGAAAGCGAUGGGCGCGAACCG
rnacentral:rRNA from 1 species